UCGAGAAUUUUUCUCAAUGGGGGAAACCCUGAAGGAGCGACGCCGCGUGGAGGAUGAAGGCUUUCGGGUUGUAAACUCCUGUCAUUUGAGAACAAGGUGCACCGGUUAACUGCCGGUGCAUUGAUAGUAUCAGAAGAGGAAGGGACGGCUAACUCUGUGCCAGCAGCCGCGGUAAUACAGAGGUCCCAAGCGUUGUUCGGAUUCAUUGGGCGUAAAGGGUGCGUAGGUGGCGCCGUAAGUCGGGUGUGAAAUUUCGGAGCUUAACUCCGAAACUGCAUUCGAUACUGCGGUGCUUGAGGACUGGAGAGGAGACUGGAAUUCAUGGUGUAGCAGUGAAAUGCGUAGAGAUCAUGAGGAAGACCAGUGGCGAAGGCGGGUCUCUGGACAGUUCCUGACACUGAGGCACGAAGGCCAGGGGAGCAAACGGG
rnacentral:rRNA from 1 species